rnacentral:tRNA from 1 species
GGUCGCUUAGCUCAGUUGGUUAGAGCGUGGUGCUAAUAUUGGCAGUCCUCAUAGAGGAUUAGAAGUUAACGCCAAGGUCGCGAGUUCGACCCUCGUAGUGACCA